CUUCCUCUCUUUCUCUCGGCUCUCUCUCUCUCUCUCUCGGCUCUCCCUCCUACCCGAGCGGUGGCGGCGGUGGACGCGAGGGGGAAGGAGGGCGGCUCACCGACGGCAGCAGCGGCGACGACGGCGGUGGCGACGGUGGCGUACGGC
rnacentral:sRNA from 1 species